rnacentral:rRNA from 1 species
CUGGUGUAAGAGUGUAGGCCGUGACAUAGGCAAAUCCGUGUCACAUUAAGGCUGAGACUUGAUGCAUACCCGUUGUGGGGAAUUCAGUGAUCCUAUGCUGCCGAGAAAAGCCUCUAGUGAGUUCAUACACGGCCCGUACCCCAAACCGACACAGGUGAUCAGGUAGAGAAUACCAAGGCGAUCGAGAGAACUGUGGUUAAGGAACUCGGCAAAAUGCCCCCGUAACUUCGGGAGAAGGGGGACCAUGCCCGGUGAACAUCUUCACGGUGGGAGCUGGGUGUGGUCGCAGAGACCAGAGAGAAGCGACUGUUUACUAAAAACACAGGUCCGUGCGAAGACGUAAGUCGAUGUAUACGGACUGACGCCUGCCCGGUGCUGGAAGGUUAAGAGGACCGGUUAGCCGUAAGGCGAAGCUGAGAAUUUAAGCCCCAGUAAACGGCGGUGGUAACUAUAACCAUCCUAAGGUAGCGAAAUUCCUUGUCGGGUAAGUUCCGACCUGCACGAAUGGCGUAACGACUUCUCUGCUGUCUCGACCACAGACUCGGCGAAAUUGCACUACGAGUAAAGAUGCUCGUUACGCGCGGCAGGACGAAAAGACCCCGGGACCUUUACUAUAGCUUGGUAUUGGCGUUCGAUUCGGUUUGUGUAGGAUAGGUGGGAGACUGUGAAGCAUGCACGCCAGUGUGUGUGGAGUCGUUGUUGAAAUACCACUCUGAUCGUAUUGGACGUCUAACCUCGGCCCAUGAUCUGGGUUAGGGACAGUGCCUGGUGGGUAGUUUAACUGGGGCGGUUGCCUCCUAAAGAGUAACGGAGGCGCCCAAAGGUUCCCUCAGCCUGGAUGGCAAUCAGGUGUUGAGUGCAAGUGCACAAGGGAGCUUGACUGUGAGACUGACACGUCGAGCAGGGACGAAAGUCGGGACUAGUGAUCCGGCACCGGCAAGUGGAAGCGGUGUCGCUCAACGGAUAAAAGGUACCCCGGGGAUAACAGGCUGAUCUUCCCCAAGAGUCCAUAUCGACGGGAUGGUUUGGCACCUCGAUGUCGGCUCGUCGCAUCCUGGGGCUGGAGUAGGUCCCAAGGGUUGGGCUGUUCGCCCAUUAAAGCGGCACGCGAGCUGGGUUUAGAACGUCGUGAGACAGUUCGGUCUCUAUCCGCCGCGCGCGUAAGAAACUUGAGGAAGGCUGUCCCUAGUACGAGAGGACCGGGACGGACGAACCUCUGGUGUGCCAGUUGUUCCACCAGGAGCAUGGCUGGUUAGCUACGUUCGGAAGGGAUAACCGCUGAAAGCAUCUAAGCGGGAAGCCUGUUCCAAGAUGAGGUUUCUCACCACCUUGCGUGGUUAAGGCCCCCUACAGACCAUGGGGUUGAUAGGCCGGAACUGGAAGCGCAGCAAUGCGUGGAGGUGACCGGUACUAAUAGGCCGAGGGCUU